rnacentral:ncRNA from 1 species
CUGGGUCAAACGGAGUAACCGGAAGGUGAAAGACGACCUUAGCAAAAGGAGAAGUACUUCCCUGGUCCACGAGGCCAAAAACUGCCCUUUGAUGCUCAAGCACGGACGCUGCUUGCAUGGCGGGAGGAUGUGCCUAUUCCCGUUUCAUGUGCUUGAGCAACGCAGAUUAGACGGCACCCUACAACCCAUCUGUACGAAGGAGCGAAUACUUUUUAUGACCAGC